rnacentral:rRNA from 1 species
ACGAUGAACUGGAGCUUGCUCCAGGGAUUAGUGGCGAACGGGUGAGUAACACGUGAGUAACCUGCCCUUGACUCUGGGAUAAGCGCUAGAAAUGGCGUCUAAUACCGGAUACGAGCUUCAGCCGCAUGGCUAGGAGUUGGAAAGAAUUUUGGUCAAGGAUGGACUCGCGGCCUAUCAGCUAGUUGGUGAGGUAAUGGCUCACCAAGGCGACGACGGGUAGCCGGCCUGAGAGGGUGACCGGCCACACUGGGACUGAGACACGGCCCAGACUCCUACGGGAGGCAGCAGUGGGGAAUAUUGCACAAUGGGCGAAAGCCUGAUGCAGCAACGCCGCGUGAAGGAUGACGGCCUUCGGGUUGUAAACCUCUUUUAGUAGGGAAGAAGCGAAAGUGACGGUACCUGCAGAAAAAGCACCGGCUAACUACGUGCCAGCAGCCGCGGUAAUACGUAGGGUGCAAGCGUUGUCCGGAAUUAUUGGGCGUAAAGAGCUCGUAGGCGGUUUGUCGCGUCUGCUGUGAAAUCUGGGGGCUCAACCCCCAGCCUGCAGUGGGUACGGGCAGACUAGAGUGCGGUAGGGGAGAUUGGAAUUCCUGGUGUAGCGGUGGAAUGCGCAGAUAUCAGGAGGAACACCGAUGGCGAAGGCAGAUCUCUGGGCCGUAACUGACGCUGAGGAGCGAAAGCAUGGGGAGCGAACAGGAUUAGAUACCCUGGUAGUCCAUGCCGUAAACGUUGGGAACUAGUGGGGGCCAUUCCACGGUCUCCGUGUCGCAGCUAACGCAUUAAGUUCCCCGCCUGGGGAGUACGGCCGCAAGGCUAAAACUCAAAGGAAUUGACGGGGGCCCGCACAAGCGGCGGAGCAUGCGGAUUAAUUCGAUGCAACGCGAAGAACCUUACCAAGGCUUGACAUAUACCGGAAACGUCCAGAGAUGGUCGCCCCGCAAGGUCGGUAUACAGGUGGUGCAUGGUUGUCGUCAGCUCGUGUCGUGAGAUGUUGGGUUAAGUCCCGCAACGAGCGCAACCCUCGUUCUAUGUUGCCAGCACGUUAUGGUGGGAACUCAUAGGAGACUGCCGGGGUCAACUCGGAGGAAGGUGGGGAUGACGUCAAAUCAUCAUGCCCCUUAUGUCUUGGGCUUCACGCAUGCUACAAUGGCCGGUACAAAGGGCUGCGAUACCGUAAGGUGGAGCGAAUCCCAAAAAGCCGGUCUCAGUUCGGAUUGAGGUCUGCAACUCGACCUCAUGAAGUCGGAGUCGCUAGUAAUCGCAGAUCAGCAACGCUGCGGUGAAUACGUUCCCGGGCCUUGUACACACCGCCCGUCAAGUCAUGAAAGUCGGUAACACCCGAAGCCAGUGGCCUAACCCUUGUGGA